AAAAUCCAACAAAACUACGUAUUCGGCUUUUCGAUGGCUCCAAGGUUUCCACCAUACAACAACGAAGACACACGAAAGAAAGCGCAGAAAAUAAAUUAUUUUCGCGGAGCCGUUUUCCUCUUUUUUGCUCGGAAGAG
ensembl:ncRNA C31H5.8 ncRNA